CGCGAAUGGCUCAUUACAACAGCUAUAAUUUACUUGAUCUUGACUUCCUACUUGGAUAACUGUGGUAAUUCUAGAGCUAAUACAUGCACCAAAGCUCCGACCGCGAGGGAAGAGCGCAUUUAUUAGAACAAAACCACACGGCUUCGGCCGUCCAAUGUUGACUCAGAAUAACUAAGCUGAUCGCAUGGUCUUGCACCGGCGACGUUUCUUUCAAGUAUCUGCCUUAUCAACUUUCGGUGGUAGUGUAUCAGACUACCAUGGUGAUGACGGGUAACGGAGGAUAAGGGUUCGACUCCGGAGAAGGGGCCUGAGAAAUGGCCACUACGUCCAAGGAUGGCAGCAGGCGCGCAAAUUACCCACUCUCAGUACGAGGAGGUAGUGACGAGAAAUAACAAGACCGUUCUCACAAGAGGCCGGUCAUUGGAAUGGGUACAAUUUAAACCCUUUAACGAGUAUCUAUGAGAGGGCAAGUCUGGUGCCAGCAGCCGCGGUAAUUCCAGCU
rnacentral:rRNA from 1 species